UUGUGCAGCACUUAGCAGCUGCUUUACUAAUACAUAUUAUUUUUAGGAAAUCAGCUCUAUUUUUAAGUUUUUAGAGUCUGAAGCAUUCUGAAGAUGUUCUCAAAUGUAUUUCUCUACCCUUAAUGAAGCAAAAAAUAGCACAGAAGGUUAAAAAAUGAUCUCACUGUAAAACGAGGCUUGAAAUCAGUCUAAAGCAGUCACACCUAGUCUGGGCUUCAGCUGCCUAGCAGUAAUACAGCAGGUAAAGAAGUAGUGUGCAUUACAGAAUGACAGCCUGAUUCACUUUGAUUUUGGAAACAUGAAAACAAUGCAGCCUCGUCCUGGAGAAGUUAUCUCUGGUUUUCAUUAUUAACUGCUGUUCUGGAAUCAGGCAUGUUCUAGUUACUCAUGUUGCCCACUUUUCCUCUCACUUCCCUUGCCUCUCAAAGUCCAGGGGACUUGCAGCCAAAUAUUCCGCUCUGACUAGGCAGUGUCAUCUGAGGGGGGGGGAAAAGGUGAUGCAGCUGCUCUGCUGUGCCAUUGGUACAGCUGCUGAUAAAACUGGGUGAGAAGUAAUGCUGGUGAGACACAGAGUUUAAGGGCUUAUGUUUUCAUGUAUCUGUAAUAAUACCAACUCUAUUAAAUUAUCAGAAAGUAUAGAGAUUUGUUAAACCUCUGUGUACAAUGCUGUUCCAAGUGAGUAUUUUGGUAAGCUGCCCUUUAUGUAGAUAUCUGUACAAUAUAAGCUUAUGCUCCAAUAAGAAAGAAAAUGUUUUGGAUUAUCCUGGGAUGAUGAGGAGUCGUUAUGUGAAUUACAGAAGUAUAAAUUACUGUCUGUUAGUUUAACUAGUCUGUGAGAGGGGUAAGUUGCCAGAGAAGCACCAGGGAAACCAGUCAGUAAGAGGAUUCAAAAGCACUACCUAAACUUAAGAGGUCAGGAAAGCAUGAAGGGUGGAGGCUUCCUCUUGCUUUCUCCUAUUCAUUUUCUCUCUUUACUUAUAGACUCAGCAGUUUUUGGCACUUCUCCCUUUGCAGUAGUUCUGUGAUCUUCUGCAGGUGGACACUGCUGACAUAUUUUGUAGAGGCAGGUGAUGGAGUGACUUUGGUGGGUACCUGGAAUCCAGCCAAAGUCAAACAACUGUAUUCAGUCUCCAGUAAACUGAGUGGGCAUCAUGUUGAGAUUUUGGAUUACAGUGUCAGCUGAUGAAGUGAUAAUUAUAUACAUAAUUAAUUCUUCAUAUUCACCAUUCUUCUAUGGACUCUUUAUGGAUGUGAUGAAGUCACAGAGAAAAUUUCCACUUUAGGUAGGUUUUUUUGGGGUUUUUUUGUGGUUGUUUAAAAAUUAUAUAUAGCACAAAGGUCAGCAGUUGUGGGCUAAGUCAGAGCAAAGUUCCCCUCUUCUUUUUUUUUUUUUUUUUUUUUUUAAUAGCUGAAGUGAUACAACAAAGCUGACAAGUAGAGGAGGAAUACUUUCUUCUAGCAUAUCCAGUCACAUCAGAUUGUAAAACAUAUGAAAUGGAAAAUUUUUAUAAAAUGAGUAAACUGAUGCUGUGAUUAUAGCAUACAUUUCUCAAAUUAAAGCACAUGGUGAAUAUGAUACAAUGUGCCUGCCAUACUGUGAAAUAGCAAAACCACACAUUCCAACAGUAAGGACUUUCAGGGUGGUGUCCUGCAUACUAUAUUCAAAGGAUCUCACUGCUGAUUCAGAAAACCUCGUGUGAUCAAGAUCUUCAUCUCUCCCUUCUGGUUAUAUUUUAACACUUCCUAAGAACAAAUUACUUACUAACAAGAUUUGUGAAAAAGAUUGAGAACAAUAUAUGGCACACCUGGAGACCAGUCCUAGAUAUAAGGUCUGGGCCGUCUGACAGAUGGAACUGGGGGCAAGUUAUUUUUUUGGAACAACAACAACUUUAAAAAAAAUCAAACCAAAAAACCUCAAAAAAAGGAUGUUUCGAUUCUCAGUUCCCAGACAAAUGAAGUUGUGGAAGUUAGGUGUCUGUUUCCCUGAAAGCAGCUCCUCUGCUCAGAACACAGCUCUCAUGGCCCUCAGUAGUUAUAAAGUACUUUGCACUUCUUCAGUUCAGAGCCUGAGAGUGGAGAAAAUCAGUUUGCAAAUAGACAUUUAAAAGACUCUGUGCAUUGGUCAUCUGUACUGGGAAUGUUUGGCUCAGUGGUAUAUUGAGUGUCACAGAAAAUAUUCAGUGCCAAGGGAUAAUCUUGCUUUCAUCUCUCAGCUCUGCAACUCUUUGCUGCUUGUUUACUUUCUUAUCACAUUGUCUCACACACCUCCAGCAUCUCUUCUGGUUUUGCAACUCAGUUUCUGCUUUUCUUAUUUGCUCUAAAAUAGCCUGCUUCUUUUUCCAUCACUCUGUUCCCUGGGUCUUUUUAGAGCAGCCACUGAGUUGUUCUGCCAUGGCAGAUACAAUUCCAGGGAAAGUCCUGUUUGUCCCUCAGGCUUUGUAGACAUCUGACCAGAGAGGAUAGGGUUUUAUAGGUUUAGCUAUCAAACCACUGAGCAGAUACAAAUGGAAACAUUCAGGGCCUAUCAACUAGUUUGAAUGGACAUUCAGAACAGAAAAAAACCCCCAUUAUAGGAAGUGAUCCAUGUGAAGCUCCUGCUCAAAAGAACAGAGGAGCCCUAAAAAAUAUCCUUAAAAAGUUCUACCAUGGUGGUUCCACCAUAUUGUUUAAUUUCUGAGGGAAUCACUUAUUUACUUCUGAAAAACGAACAUGAGAAAUGCUUCAGUAUAAACAGGUAAAAGUUGGAAAACAUGUAAGCAAUUGUUAGAAAAUUUUA